AUGGAGAUUGUUGUGGGGGCUAUCGGCCCUCUCCUCCCCAAGCUCGGUGCGCUCCUCGUUGGCGAGUUCACCCUGGAGAAACGCGUGAGAAAAGGCAUUGAGUCUCUUGUGACAGAGCUCACGCUGAUGCAUGCCGCCCUCCAUAAGGUGGCAAAAGUGCCGCCACAACAGCUUGACGAGGGGGUCAAGAUUUGGGCAGGAAAACUGAAAGAUUUGUCCUACAAAAUGGAGGACAUAGUUGAUGCUUUCAUGGUGCGUGUGGAGGAUGGUGGUGAGCCUACCAACCCAAGGAAUAGAGUCAAGAAGGUACUCAAGAAGACAAUCAAAUUAUUCAAGAAUGGUAAGACUCUUCAUUGGAUCUCUAAUGCUCUAGAGGAAGCGGUUCAUCAAGCUAAGCAGUUGGCCGAGCUACGCCAAAGGUAUGACCAAGAGAUGCGGGACACUAGCGUUGGUCCUAGUGUUGACCCUCGCAUACUAGCCUUGUACACGGAUGCGGCAGAGCUCGUUGGUAUUGAAGAAUCACGAGAUGAGUUGAUCACCAAGUUGAUUGAAGGCGAUGAUUGGUUGAAGCACCCGUUGAAGACAAUCUCUAUUGUUGGAUUUGGUGGAUUAGGAAAGACAACUCUUGCCAAAGCAGUAUAUGACAAGAUCAAAGUGCAAUUUGAUUGUGGUGCUUUUGCCUCGAUUUCUCAGAAUCCUGACAUGAAGAAAGUUUUCAAGAAUAUUCUCUAUGAACUUGACAAGAACAAGUAUGCACAAAUUCGUAAUGAAGAAUGGGAAGAAAAGCAUCUGAUCGAUGAACUCAUCGAAUUCCUUAGUUGCAAGAGGUACAUCAUCGUAAUUGAUGAUAUAUGGGAUGAAAAAGUGUGGGAAUUCAUUAAUUGCGCUUUCUCCAAGAAGAGUUUGGGAAGCCGACUAAUCACGACCACCCGCAUCGUUACUGUCUCUGAAGCAUGCUGCUCAUCUAGAGAUGAUGUUUACAGAAUGAAACCUCUUUCUGACGAUGUGUCAAGAACACUCUUCUGUAAAAUAGUAUUUUCUCAAGACAAAGGGUGUCCUCAAGAAUUGGUGCAAGUAUCCAAAGAUAUUUUGAAGAAAUGUGGCGGCAUACCAUUAGCUAUUAUUACUAUAGCAAGUCUCCUUGCUAAUAAUCACCAGAUAAAGCCAAAGGAGCAAUGGUAUGCUUUGCUCAAUUCCAUUGGUCAUGGACUUACAGAAGAUCGCAGUUUGGAGCAGAUGAAAAAGAUAUUAUUAUAUAGUUAUUAUGAUCUACCUUCGUAUCUAAAACCUUGUUUGUUAUAUCUUAGCAUCUUCCCAGAAGAUUAUAAGAUUAUGAAAAUCAAGCUAAUAUGGAGAUGGAUUUCAGAAGGUUUUGUUUAUAGCGAAAAACAAGAAACUGACUUAUAUGAGCUCGGUAAGAAGUACUUCAAUGAGCUAGUAAAUAGAAGUAUGAUACAGCCAAUUGGUAUUGAUGAUGGAGAAGAUAAACAAGCGUGUCGUGUACAUGACAUGGUGCUUGAUAUCCUAUGCUCACUGUCAACUGAAGAAAACUUUGUAACAAUAUUGGAUGGCACCGGAAGAAAAAUGCCUAAUUUGGAAAGCAAGGUUCGCAGAUUAUCCAUCCAAAAUAGCCAGAUAGACGUCGAUAUCACUAGGAUGACACAGAUGAGAUCUCUUACUGUUUUCAUCAAUAAUGUUGUCGGAAAAGUGUCAGAUAUAUCAAGUUUUCAAGUUCUUCGUGUGUUGGAUUUGGAAGGUUGUGAUAUCUCAGAUAUUGGAUAUGUGAGGAAUCUUGUACAUUUGAGGUACUUAGGGCUAAGAUAUACUCAUGUUGAGGACCUUCCUACUGAAAUCAAGAAGCUACAAUUUUUGCUUACCUUGGACUUAAGAGGUACUAAGAUAAAAGUUUUGCCGUCAAGUGUUGUUCAGCUAAGACGUCUAAUGUGCCUGUAUGUUGAUUUGCAUAUGAAGCUGCCGUCUGGGAUAGAUAACCUAGCUUCCCUAGAAGUACUAGGGACAGUGUUGCUGUAUGACAUGGACCUCAAUGCUGUGAAAGAAUUGGGCCAUCUGACCAAGCUUCGGGUGCUCCAAUUUCACUGUGAUGAUGAUGAGAGCCUGGGAAAAGCUUUGAAGGAAUCUCUUAGUAAUCUGUACAAACUGGACAGUCUAGAUAUAUUUGUCCGUGGUGGAGACAUCAAUAUCCUGAGCGAAGACUGGGUCCCUCCUCUACAACUCCGUAGAUUGGCUUUCCCAAUGCCAUUCAGUUGGUUCAAGACACUGCCGUCAUGGAUCAAUCCUUCAUCGCUUUCUCUCCUCACCUAUCUGGAUAUAAAGGUGGCUGAAGUGCGAUCGGAGGUCAUACAACUUAUUGGGAUGCUUCCUGCUCUUUGUGUUCUUGAGAUAAUGGAUGUUUCUAAGUUCUAUGAAGAGCGAGUGGUGGAAAUGUCCGCCCUUUCCUCUGUUGCGUUAUUCCCGUGUGCGACAGAGUGUCACUUCCUUUGUAUUGGUGCAGUGUCAUCUAUGUUUCCACGAGGAGCUGCACCGAGGCUUAAGCACCUUGGCUUCACCUUCUCAGCUAAGUGGAUUCACCAAAUCUUCCACUCAGCAGGCAGCAUGAGCUACCAAAUGUCGUCGAAAUGUACUUUGAUCGCGCAGGCCUCCGCUUCUUCUCCAGCCAAUAUUGUCAAGCACACUGCUUUGCCGUGCCGUUUGAUCCGUCUCCGUCCUGCAACGAGAUGA
rnacentral:rRNA from 1 species